AUGAACGCUGGCGGCGUGCCUAAUCCAUGCAAGUCGAGCGAACAGACGAGGAGCUUGCUCCUCUGACGUUAGCGGCGGACGGGUGAGUAACACGUGGAUAACCUACCUAUAAGACUGGGAUAACUUCGGGAAACCGGAGCUAAUACCGGAUAAUAUAUUGAACCGCAUGGUUCAAUAGUGAAAGACGGUUUUGCUGUCACUUAUAGAUGGAUCCGCGCCGCAUUAGGUAGUUGGUAAGGUAACGGCUUAACAAGGCAACGAUGCGUAGCCGACCUGAGCGGGUGAACGGCCACACUGGAACUGAGACACGGUCCAGACUCCUACGGGAGGCAGCAGUAGGGAAUCUUCCGCAAUGGGCGAAAGCCUGACGGAGCAACGCCGCGUGAGUGAUGAAGGUCUUCGGAUCGUAAAACUCUGUUAUUAGGGAAGAACAAAUGUGUAAGUAACUAUGCACGUCUUGACGGUACCUAAUCAGAAAGCCACGGCUAACUACGUG
rnacentral:rRNA from 1 species